rnacentral:rRNA from 1 species
UACGUAGGGAGCAAGCGUUGUCCGGAAUCAUUGGGCGUAAAGCGCGCGUAGGUGGCCUCAUAAGUCCGCUGUGAAAGUCAAAGGCUCAACCUUUGAAAGCCGGUGGAUACUGUGAGGCUAGAGUACGGAAGAGGCGAGUGGAAUUUCCGGUGUAGCGGUGAAAUGCGUAGAGAUCGGAAGGAACACCAGUGGCGAAGGCGGCCACCUGGACAGAUACUGACACUGAGGCGCGAGAGCGUGGGGAGCAAACAGG